GUUAUGGAGAGGACCUCCCUCGGGCGCCUCGUCUACAUUACGGAUGCAAUGCCUUGACUGGCUAUAGCGGUGCCGCAGCGAUGCGCCCGUGCAACCUUUUUGAAAGUCUAUACUUUAYGCCUACGAUAUACAAUAUACGAGUAUACAACUCAUAGCGUUGGAUCCCUUGGCAUGCCAUUCGAUGAAGACCGUUGCAAAAUGCGAUAAGUGGUGUGAUAUGCAAGUCCAAAACUUAUACGUGAAUCAUCGAAUUGUUGAACGCACUGCAUCGAUCCUUAUCCAGGAACGAUACGCCCUAUUGAGCGUCAUUAUGUCUUCGCGGCCUCGUCUUCAUCGACGUUGCCCGGGUUCGGGACCCACGGCCUCGCGGCCGCGUCUCCUCAGAUGCAUUUACCGCACGAGACUGUACACUUGCGUCCUUGUCAUGAGUGUCGAGGUACGAGAGUGACGAGACUUGCGCCGGAUCGCCGUCCGCGGCGCAUCAGACCCCGCCUUCGGGCGACCCUACCGACAUGACCUCACGGGGGUGGGACGACCCGCUAGACUUAAGCAUAUUAAUCAGCGGAGGAAAAGAAACUAACAAGGAUUUCCCUAGUAACUGCGAGUGAAGAGGAAUGAGCUCAAUGUGUGAAUCGGCUUGGGAAUAACCCCCGGAUCGAGUUGUGCACUAUAGACGGCGGAUCAGCGUUUGGACGGUUCGGGUGUAUGUCCGAUCGAAUUCGGUGCCAYAGAGGGUGAAAGUCCUGUACUUGCCCGUUAACCGUCUGCGCAAUUGACCGACGUUCUGCGAGUCGCGUAGUUUUGUAUUGCUGCGCUAAUUGGGAGGUAGAGCCCUUCUAAAGCUAAAUAUUAUGGCAUGACCGAUAGCAUAUCAAGUACCGCGAGGGAAAGGUGCAAAGCAAAUAUGUAAAAUAUGUUGAAACAGUAGUGAAAGCGCUAUGGGGAUAAGGGCUGGGGAUUGCUCGUGCCGAUCGCCCGUGCUUUAGUGCUGGGCUUCCGGACGGCGUGCGGCGGUUCGGAUGGAGAGAACAGGCCACUUGGAAUUCGGCUGGGUCCGCCCAGUGUUGUAGCCUUGUGCGCAGCGGAGCUCCUCUCGGACCGUUGAGCGUCUUGCGAUUGUCAGCCGCCCGUCUUGAAACACGGACCAAGGAGUGCACAUUGCAUGCGAGUCGGAGGGAUUGGAAUCCCCGAGGCGUAGGGAAACCAAAGGCCGCGAACCCGUAAGGCGUCGGCGGCGCCCGCCCUGUGCGAGGCAGAGCAUGUAGGGUGCGACCCGAAAGAUGUGUGAGCUAUGCCCGGUGAAGGUGAAGCCAGUGGAAACGCUGGUGGAGGCCUGUAGCGGUUCUGACGUGCAGAUCGAUCGUGUCAUCUGGGUAUAGGGGCGAAAGACCUAUCGAACCGUCUAAUGGCUGGUUCCCCCCGAAGUUUCCCUCAGGAUAGCUGUGUCCCUUCUGUCAGUUGCACGCGGUAGAGCGAAUGAUUAGGUGUCUCGGGGCUCUAGUUGCCUCGGCUCAUUCUCAAAACUGCGAAUUGUGUGCGCACCGCGGGUGACCUAACGGCA
rnacentral:rRNA from 1 species